rnacentral:rRNA from 1 species
GAUGAACGCUAGCGGCAGGCUUAACACAUGCAAGUCGAGGGGCAGCACGAUGUAGCAAUACAUUGGUGGCGACCGGCGCACGGGUGCGUAACACGUAUGGAAUCUGCCUUGUACUGGGAGAUAGCCCUCCGAAAGGAGGAUUAAUAUCCCAUAACAGCCGGGGUGGCAUCACCCUGGGUUGAAAGCUCCGGCGGUACAAGAUGACCAUGCGCACGAUUAGCUAGUUGGUGAGGUAACGGCUCACCAAGGCUACGAUCGUUAGGGGGCCUGAGAGGGUUAUCCCCCACACUGGUACUGAGACACGGACCAGACUCCUACGGGAGGCAGCAGUGAGGAAUAUUGGUCAAUGGGCGCAAGCCUGAACCAGCCAUCCCGCGUGAAGGAAGAAGGCGCUAUGCGUUGUAAACUUCUUUUCCGGAGGAAUAAAAUUUUGUACGAGUACAGGACUGAAGGUACUCCGGGAAUAAGCAUCGGCUAACUCCGUGCCAGCCGCCGCCGUAACAC